rnacentral:rRNA from 1 species
UACGUAGGGUGCGAGCGUUAAUCGGAAUUACUGGGCGUAAAGCGUGCGCAGGCGGUUUUGUAAGCCGGAUGUGAAAUCCCCGGGCUCAACCUGGGAACUGCCUUUGUGACUGCAAGGCUUGAGUGCGGCAGAGGGGGAUGGAAUUCCGCGUGUAGCAGUGAAAUGCGUAGAUAUGCGGAGGAACACCGAUGGCGAAGGCAAUCCCCUGGGCCUGCACUGACGCUCAUGCACGAAAGCGUGGGGAGCAAACAGG